UGAGUAACACGUGAGCAACCUGCCUUUCAGAGGGGGAUAACGGCUGGAAACGGUCGCUAAUACCGCAUGAUGUGUUCGGAUGGCAUCAUCUGAACAUCAAAGAUUUAUCGCUGAAAGAUGGGCUCGCGUCUGAUUAGAUAGUUGGUGGGGUAACGGCCUACCAAGUCUACGAUCAGUAGCCGGACUGAGAGGUUGAACGGCCACAUUGGGACUGAGAUACGGCCCAGACUCCUACGGGAGGCAGCAGUGGGGAAUAUUGCACAAUGGGGGAAACCCUGAUGCAGCAACGCCGCGUGAAGGAUGACGGUUUUCGGAUUGUAAACUUCUUUUCUUAGUGACGAAGACAGUGACGGUAGCUAAGGAAUAAGCAUCGGCUAACUACGUGCCAGCAGCCGCGGUAAUACGUAGGAUGCAAGCGUUAUCCGGAUUUACUGGGUGUAAAGGGAGCGCAGGCGGGACUGCAAGUUGGAUGUGAAAUACCGUGGCUUAACCACGGAACUGCAUCCAAAACUGUAGUUCUUGAGUGAAGUAGAGGCAAGCGGAAUUCCGAGUGUAGCGGUGAAAUGCGUAGAUAUUCGGAGGAACACCAGUGGCGAAGGCGGCUUGCUGGGCUUUAACUGACGCUGAGGCUCGAAAGUGUGGGGAGCAAACAGGAUUAGAUACCCUGGUAGUCCACACUGUAAACGAUGAUAGCUAGGUGUGGGGGGUCUGACCCCUUCCGUGCCGGAGUUAACGCAAUAAGCUAUCCACCUGGGGAGUACGACCGCAAGGUUGAAACUCAAAGGAA
rnacentral:rRNA from 1 species